rnacentral:rRNA from 1 species
UACGAAGGGGGCUAGCGUUGCUCGGAAUUACUGGGCGUAAAGCGCACGUAGGCGGGUCGCUAAGUCGGGGGUGAAAUCCUGGAGCUCAACUCCAGAACUGCCUUCGAAACUGACGAUCUUGAGUUCGGGAGAGGUGAGUGGAGCUGCGAGUGUAGAGGUGAAAUUCGUAGAUAUUCGCAAGAACACCAGUGGCGAAGGCGGCUCACUGGCCCGAUACUGACGCUGAGGUGCGAAAGCGUGGGGAGCAAACAGG